rnacentral:tRNA from 1 species
CGGGCGGUAGCGCAGCCCGGUAGCGCACACGUCUGGGGGGCGUGGGGUCGCAAGUUCGAAUCUUGUUCGCCCGA